GUAAAGCUCUUUGUCAGGAAGAAACGGUCGGGCUAAUAUCCUGUGCUAAUGACGGUACCUGAAGAAUAAGCACCGGCUAACUACGUGCCAGCAGCCGCGGUAAUACGUAGGGUGCAAGCGUUAAUCGGAAUUACUGGGCGUAAAGCGUGCGCAGGCGGUUUUGUAAGUUUGUCGUGAAAUCCCCGGGCUCAACCUGGGAAUGGCGAUGAAGACUGCAAGGCUAGAGUUUGGCAGAGGGGGGUAGAAUUCCACGUGUAGCAGUGAAAUGCGUAGAUAUGUGGAGGAACACCGAUGGCGAAGGCAGCCCCCUGGGUCAAAACUGACGCUCAUGCACGAAAGCGUGGGGAGCAAACAGGAUUAGAUACCCUGGUAGUCCACGCCCUAAACGAUGUCUACUAGUUGUCGGGUCUUAAUUGACUUGG
rnacentral:rRNA from 1 species